ACCUAGGAAACAGAUGCUAAUACCGGAUAACAACAGAUGAUGCCUAUCAACUGUUUAAAAGAUGGUUCUGCUAUCACUCUUGGAUGGACCUGCGGUGCAUUAGCUAGUUGGUAGGGUAACGGCCUACCAAGGCGAUGAUGCAUAGCCGAGUUGAGAGACUGAUCGGCCACAUUGGGACUGAGACACGGCCCAAACUCCUACGGGAGGCAGCAG
rnacentral:rRNA from 1 species